GACGAACGCUGGCGGCGUGCUUAACACAUGCAAGUCGAACGGAAAGGCCCUGCUUUUGUGGGGUGCUCGAGUGGCGAACGGGUGAGUAACACGUGAGUAACCUGCCCUUGACUUUGGGAUAACUUCAGGAAACUGGGGCUAAUACCGGAUAGGAGCUCCUGCUGCAUGGUGGGGGUUGGAAAGUUUCGGCGGUUGGGGAUGGACUCGCGGCUUAUCAGCUUGUUGGUGGGGUAGUGGCUUACCAAGGCUUUGACGGGUAGCCGGCCUGAGAGGGUGACCGGCCAAAUUGGGACUGAGAUACGGCCCAGACUCCUACGGGAGGCAGCAGUGGGGAAUAUUGCACAAUGGGCGGAAGCCUGAUGCAGCAACGCCGCGUGCGGGAUGACGGCCUUCGGGUUGUAAACCGCUUUCGCCUGUGACGAAGCGUGAGUGACGGUAAUGGGUAAAGAAGCCCCGGCUAACUACGUG
rnacentral:rRNA from 1 species